UACAGUUUGAUCUACGUGAUCACCAAGCUUGGGCUAUUAUUUGUUUACGACUUGGAGACCGCAACUGCAGUUUAGAGAAAUAGAAUCUGUCCAGAUCCAAUAUUUUUGACAGCAGCUUCACCAGUGGGAGGUUUUUUAUGCAAUCAAUAGGCAUGGACAGUUGAAAAAUUUGGAGCUUGCUGUCAAUCUUGCCAAAAGAGGUUGUCCAACGUUUCCAAGAACGAUUUUCCCAAACAAAGUACAAAGAAGCUGCAGAACUUGCCGCCGAGUCCCCUCAAGGAAUCCUCCGAACACCAGAUAUAGUUGCCAAA